rnacentral:rRNA from 1 species
GAUGAACGCUGGCGGCGUGCCUAAUACAUGCAAGUCGAGCGAAUGGAUUAAGAGCUUGCUCUUAUGAAGUUAGCGGCGGACGGGUGAGUAACACGUGAGUAACCUGCCCAUAAGACUGGGAUAACUCCGGGAAACCGGGGCUAAUACCGGAUAAUAUUUUGAACUGCAUGGUUCAAAAUUGAAAGGCGGCUUCGGCUGUCACUUAUGGAUGGACCCGCGUCGCAUUAGCUAGUUGGUGAGGUAACGGCUCACCAAGGCAACGAUGCGUAGCCGACCUGAGAGGGUGAUCGGACACACUGGGACUGAGACACGGCCCAGACUCCUACGGGAGGCAGCAGUAGGGAAUCUUCCGCAAUGGACGAAAGUCUGACGGAGCAACGCCGCGUGAGUGAUGAAGGCUUUCGGGUCGUAAAACUCUGUUGUUAGGGAAGAACAAGUGCUAGUUGAAUAAGCUGGCACCUUGACGGUACCUAACCAGAAAGCCACGGCUAACUACGUGCCAGCCGCCGCGGUAA